UACGUAGGGUGCGAGCGUUAAUCGGAAUUACUGGGCGUAAAGCGUGCGUAGGCGGUUCGUUGUGUCUGUGGUGAAAGCCCCGGGCUUAACCUGGGAAUGGCAUUUGGGACUGCAAGGCUGGAGUGCGGCAGAGGAGACUGGAAUUCCCGGUGUAGCAGUGAAAUGCGUAGAGAUCGGGAGGAACACCAGUGGCGAAGGCGGCUACCUGGACCAGCAUUGACACUCAAGCACGAAAGCGUGGGGAGCAAACAGG
rnacentral:rRNA from 1 species